rnacentral:rRNA from 1 species
UACAGAGGUCCCAAGCGUUGUUCGGAUUCACUGGGCGUAAAGGGGUGCGUAGGCGGUCGGGUAAGUCUGAUGUGAAAUCUCACAGCUUAACUGUGAAACUGCAUUGGAUACUAUCCGGCUCGAGGAAUGGAGGGGAGACUGGAAUACUUGGUGUAGCAGUGAAAUGCGUAGAUAUCAAGUGGAACACCAGUGGCGAAGGCGAGUCUCUGGACAUUUUCCUGACGCUGAGGCACGAAAGCCAGGGGAGCAAAACGGG